rnacentral:rRNA from 1 species
UAGGGAAUCUUCGGCAAUGGACGAAAGUCUGACCGAGCAACGCCGCGUGAGUGAAGAAGGUUUUUGGAUCGUAAAACUCUGUUGUUAGAGAAGAACAAGGACGUUAGUAACUGAACGUCCCCUGACGGUAUCUAACCAGAAAGCCACGGCUAACUACGUGCCAGCAGCCGCGGUAAUACGUAGGUGGCAAGCGUUGUCCGGAUUUAUUGGGCGUAAAGCGAGCGCAGGCGGUUUCUUAAGUCUGAUGUGAAAGCCCCCGGCUCAACCGGGGAGGGUCAUUGGAAACUGAGAGACUUGAGUGCAGAAGAGGAGAGUGGAAUUCCAUGUGUAGCGGUGAAAUGCGUAGAUAUAUGGAGGAACACCAGUGGCGAAGGCGGCUGUCUGGUCUGUAACUGACGCUGAGGCUCGAAAGCGUGGGGAGCAAACAGG